rnacentral:rRNA from 1 species
AGAGUUUGAUUAUGGCUCAGGAUGAACGCUAGCGACAGGCUAACACAUGCAAGUCGAGGGGCAGCAUAAAAGUAGCAAUACUUGGUGGCGACCGGCGCACGGGUGAGUAACGCGUAUGCAACCUACCUAUCAGAGGGGAAUAACCCGGCGAAAGUCGGACUAAUACCGCAUAAAACAGGGGCACCGCAUGGUGAUAUUUGUUAAAGAAAUUCGCUGAUAGAUGGGCAUGCGUUCCAUUAGGUAGUUGGUGAGGUAACGGCUCACCAAGCCGACGAUGGAUAGGGGAACUGAGAGGUUGGUCCCCCACACUGGUACUGAGACACGGACCAGACUCCUACGGGAGGCAGCAGUGAGGAAUAUUGGUCAAUGGGCGGGAGCCUGAACCAGCCAAGUCGCGUGAAAGGAAGAAGGAUCUAUGGUUCGUAAACUUCUUUUGCAGGGGAAUAAAGUGCAGGACGUGUCCUGUUUUGUAUGUACCCUGAGAAUAAGGAUCGGCUAACUCCGUGCCAGCAGCGGC